rnacentral:lncRNA from 1 species
AGGGAAGGGGCCCAAUGGGAGCUCACUCUGCACUGCGGCACCCAUCAGCCAAGCAGUGAGAGAUGAGCGGGAAACCAGGGGAGAGUAAGGGAGUAAACAACUUUUGUCGGGAAAAACGUGAGAGCAAGUCCAGACAAGUCCUGAGCAAUACAAACCAAGGGGUUUGUAUAGAAAUAUAGAAAUAUAUGUGGGGGCACAUUAAACACGGUAUGAAACUGGGCAAUAACAUGAAAAUCCGUGAAUUAUUAGCUCCUUCAGGCUCCAUAUAAGUCCCUCCAGGCUUUGAAUCUCUCCCAAUCACUUUGAUGUUCCUCCUCAAUAAACUGUGCAGGGUGUCCUGACUGUACAACACAGCCCCACCUUUGGGCCUGCCCAGCACCAAGGAAACCUACCAAAACCAUUGCAACAGUCUGCCUGUGGAAAACAGCCUGGUGCUUUCCAGGACAGCCUGAAGGGCAAGACCCCACUACCCCAGACCGAGACGCACCCCAGACACUGUCAGCGUCAUUCCAGCUAUAGUCCUGGUCUGAAGAAGACCAAGGACUCACCAGCUCACCACAGGCAGUUGCCAACAGCCGAAGAUCAGCUGGAUCAGGCAAAACACAAGCAAAUGUCCAUGAAAUAUGAGAGUUAAAAAGUCAGGGGAGUGGCUUGUCUUCUUUCUUUCCUUCCUUCCUCUUUUCUUUUAUCUCCACUCAACUGGUUAAAUCAGUUGUAGUAAGAAGACAUCUUCCAGCCCCCAAAACAUUACCUUGAUUGAGGGAUUUUGUUUCAUUCACUCUGUAAAACUACUUCAGGAUUUUAAAUUAAAUGUGAAAUCCAGUCUCCCUGCCUCCGUUUUUAUAUGCUCAGGAUGUUUUUUCUUUUAAACUUAUACAUUAGUUGAGGCCACAGCAAUAUCUUUUGUGAAGGUGACCAGGGGAAUGAAAAUGCUGAUAGGGAAGUGCAUCUUUGUUUUAACAAAAUCAGAUGAAGGAAACAGAAUAAUAUUAUAAACCAUGUCAGGCAUUUUUGAUUCCACAGACAAGGAACAGUUUAUGGGAAAAAUGUGUGCAGCUGUGACCUCUGAAAGUACUUCCUGAAUCCUGCAGAGUUACAGUGGUGGUGAGGAAUGAAAAUUUAUUGCUAACCCCUUUUCAAGAUAGAUUUUUGAUUAUGUAGAGAUUUGGAACUUUUCCUCAAAAUAGGUGAUACCUGUUGCCUCUCUGCUGUGUGACACAUGUGCUUGUUCAGGUGCAGGUAACACCACACCACCCACAGCAGAGUGCAGGAUUGUGUUUCUACCUGUGUUUCAGACCAAGAUUUUCUUACAACUUCUGGCAGGCUGCAAGACUUCUAUGCAAUUAUAAGAUUAAAAACCUGCCAGUAUGCUCUCCUGUGCACCCAGACUCAAAGUGAUCCAUCAUAAAAGCUACACUUUUUUUUUUCCUAUCUUUCAUAAAGCCCUUUGGAUGGCUUGACUCUUCUGGGUGCUGUAAAUUAUAUUAACUGGAGAGUGGAAAGGGAGGCUUUGUGAGAUGAG